AAACGAGUGCACUAAACACCAGCAAAACCAUGGGUGCGGGCCCGGAUGGUGCCACCGCGGGUGCAGAUCUUGGUGGUAGUAGCAAAUAUUCAAAUGAGAACUUUGAAGGCCGAAGUGGAGAAAGGUUCCAUGUGAACAGCAGUUGAACAUGGGUCAGUUGGUCCUAAGAGACGGGUGAACGCCGUUCAGACAGGCAGGGCAACGGCCUACGUCACCCCCGGCCGAUCGAAAGGGAGUCGGGUUCAGAUCCCUGAAUCUGGAGUGGUGGAGAGGGGCGCCGCGAGGCGUCCAGUGCGGCGACGCAAGCGAUCACAGAGAAGCUGGUGGGAGCCCUGGGGAGAGUUCUCUUUUCUUUGUGAAGGGCAGGGUGCCCUGGAAUGGGUUCGCCCUGAAAGAGGGGCCCUUGCCCUGGAAAGCAUCGCGGUUCCAGCGGCGUCCGGUGAGCUCUCGCUGGCCCUUGAAAAUCCGGGGGAGAGGGUGUAAAUCUCAUGCCAGGCUGUACCCAUAUCCGCAGCAGGUCUCCAAGGUGAACAGCCUCUGGCAUGUUGGAACAAGGCAGGUCAGGGAAGUCGGCAAGUCAGAUCCGUAACUUCGG